GUGAAAUGUGACAGGGACACGGAAAUGCCAAUGUCUUUUGAGGCUGAAGAUUUUAACAAAAGGACAAAUAUUUGUAGAGAUUAUGUCCCUUAACUGAGUAUCGGGGAAAACAAUCACCUCCCCUCCUCAUGGGACAGGGAACUGGGCAGAGUGUCUACACCUAUCAGAGCAGUCCCACUUCUCACUGACGGGAUUGUGUAGUAAUUUGGGCCUCAUAAUUAGGAAGUGAAGCAGAGGAAGUCUGGUGAUCUGGAAUGGGGAGACCAAGAAGAAUAAUUGAGUCCCAUUCUCUUUUCUUGGGGCCAACUUAAAAGGAACAGAAGCUGAAGGUUAUUGCAUGAGAUGUCUUCUGAGCCCUGGGCUCCUUUCAGACCAGGAGAAACAGUUUGAGUAUUGUCAUUCAUUCCAGCAUAGUCUGACUCAGCAAGGCAUCACCUAAGACCCAGGAUGACUGCUCCUUUACUGCCUCCUGCUGCAUCCUGUGAAACCUAGAUAAACACCCUUGGUGCCAUUUUUCUAAUCUCUAGGGAUUCAGAUGCGCUCUGUAGGGUCUUAACUAUGCCAGACCCUGCUCCCAAAGACCUUUCCUGGCCUCACCCACUUGGUCCUUCUACCAAGGAUCCAGAUAGACCUUGCACUGAGGAUUGCCCUGGAGCACGCUGACCACCAGGCUAACUCCCAGACCCCAGAGCUUCAUCUCUAGGCUGGAGGAUGUGAAAACAUGCGGUGUUUAUUCAACCAGAUACAAGGUGCCAUAAGGACAGCAGCCCAGAGACCGGACCUGACUAAGUUGCCCAUCCUGUUCCUUCCUUUUUAAAGCUGAAUAAUUCUCCAUUGCAUGUAUGCACUUUUUUUUUUUUUUUUUUUUUUUUUUUGAAACAGAGUCUCACUCUGUCGCCCAGGCUGGAGUGCAGAGGUGCAAUCUCGGCUCACUGCAACUUCUGCCUCCUGGGUUCAAGUGAUUCUCCUGCUUCAGCCUCCCUAGUAGCUGGGAUUACAGGCACUUGCCACCAUGCCUGGCUAAUUUUUAUAUUAUUUUUGUAUAGACGGGUUUCACCAUGUUGGCCAGGCUGGACUUGAACUCCCGACCUCAAGUGAUCCACCUGCCUCAACCUACCAAAAUGCUGGGAUUACAGGCAUGAACCGCUGUGGCCAUCCACCACCAAGUGGAUUUUUAAAAUCCAUUCGUUCAUUGAGAGACAUUUGGGUUGCUUCCAUUUCUUGACUAUUGGGAAUAGUACUGCUAUGAACACAGAUGUGAAAAUAUCUUUUUGAAAUCCUGCUUUCAAUUCUCUGGGAUAUAUAUCCAGAAGUGGAAUUGCUAGAUUGUAUGGCAAUUCUAUUUAAAAAUUUUUAAGGGCCGGGCACGCUGGCUUUUGCCUGUAAUCCCAGCACAUUGGGAGGCUGAGGUGGCGGGCAGAUCACUUGAGGCCAGGAGUUCGAGACCAGGCUAACCCACAUGGUGAAACCCCAUCUCUACUAAAAAUACAAAAAAUUAGCCAGGCAUGGUGGUGCAUGCUUGUAAUCCCAGCUACUUGGGAGGCUGAGGCAGGAGAAUCCUUGUACCCAGGAGGCAGAGGUUGCAGUGAGCCAAGAUCACGACAUUGCACUCCAGCCUGGGUGACAAAAGUGAAACUCUGUCUCAAAAAAAAAAACAAAACAAAUUUAAGGACCUGCCAUACUGUUUUCCACAGGGCCUGUACCAUUUUGCAUUCCCAACAACAAAGCACAAGGGUUCCAUUUUCUCCACAUCUUUGACAACACUUGUCGUUUUCUCUUUUUAAAAAUAAUAGCUAUCCUAGUGGGUGUGAGAUAGUAUCUCAUUGUAGUUUUAAUUUGCAUUUCCCUAAUGAUUAGAGAUGUUGCACAUCUUUUCAUGUCCUUAUUGGCCAUCUGUAUAGCUUCCUUAGAGAAAUGCCUGUUCAUGCCCUUUGCCCAUUUUGAGUCAGGCCAUUUUUGUUUUUGUUGAGUUUUAGGAGUUCUCUAUUUAUUCUGGAUAUAAAUCUUUACUAGGUAUAUAAUUGC
rnacentral:lncRNA from 1 species